rnacentral:RNase_P_RNA from 2 species
UCGGCAGGCCGGAUGAUCGCCCCCUUCAAGGGGGAGGAAAGUCCGAACACCCCGGCGGCGUAAGCCGCAGGAAGUGGGUAGUCGCUAACGGCGACCGGGAGAGACGGAACGGUCGGUAGGCGCCAGUCGUCUGUCGUCACGCCGUCGAAUCCUAGGGAAAGUGCAACAGAAAACACACCGCCCGAACCGGCGCUUCGGCACCGGUGAGGCCCUCGACAUCCGUCGGGGCCGGGUAAGGUUGAAAACGUGAGGUAAGAGCUCACGCGGGACAGCCCGGUGACGGGCGCCGUGGAAAACCCUACCUGGUGCAAGAGCAAGUUUGGUAGCUCGCUAGAGGCCGCGGGAAACCGCGGUCCCAGAGAGAUGGUCAUCGUCUUCCCGUCCGCGGAUGGGAAGGGACAGAAUUCGGCUUACAGGCCUGCCGGGAAG